rnacentral:tRNA from 1 species
UGGGGCGUGGCCAAGUGGUAAGGCAUUGGGUUUUGGUCCCGCUAUUCGGAGGUUCGAAUCCUUCCGUCCCAG